GGGGGAUUAGUCAGAAGGUAUAAGGUAGCGGUAUACGGUAUGCUAGGGGAUUGGACAGAAGGAAGGUAGCGGUAUACGGUACGCUAGGGGAUUGGACAGAAGGUAGCGGUAUAUGGUACGCUAGGGGAUUGGACAGAAGGUAGCGGUAUACGGUACGCUAGGGGAUUGGACAGAAGGUAGCGGUAUACGGUACGCUAGGGGAUUGGACAGAAGGUAGCGGUAUAUGGUACGCUAGGGGAUUGGACAGAAGGUAUCAGGUGGUGGUAUAUGGUAUGCUAGGGGAUUGGACAGAAGGUAUCAGGUGGUGGUAUAUGGUAUGCUAGGGGAUUGGUCAGAAGGUAUCAGGUGGUGGUAUAUGGUAUGCUAGGGGAUUAGUCAGAAGGUAUCAGGUGGUGGUAUAUGGUAUGCUAGGGGAUUGGUCAGAAGGUAUCAGGUGGUGGUAUAUGGUAUGCUAGGGGAUUGGUCAGAAGGUAUCAGGUGGUGGUAUAUGGUAUGCUAGGGGAUUAGUCAGAAGGUAUCAGGUGGUGGUAUAUGGUAUGCUAGGGGAUUGGUCAGAAGGUAUCAGGUGGUGGUAUAUGGUAUGCUAGGGGAUUGGUCAGAAGGUAUCAGGUGGUGGUAUAUGGUAUGCUAGGGGAUUGGUCAGAAGGUAUCAGGUGGUGGUAUAUGGUAUGCUAGGGGAUUGGUCAGAAGGUAUCAGGUGGUGGUAUAUGGUAUGCUAGGGGAUUGGUCAGAAGGUAUCAGGUGGUGGUAUAUGGUAUGCUAGGGGAUUGGUCAGAAGGUAUCAGGUGGUGGUAUAUGGUAUGCUAGGGGAUUGGUCAGAAGGUAUCAGGUGGUGGUAUAUGGUAUGCUAGGGGAUUGGUUGCGUCAUUCAGUCUAUUUAUGUUUUUAUUUGAUCUUUAUUUAACUAGGCAAGUCAGUUAAGAAUAAUUUAUUAUUU